rnacentral:rRNA from 1 species
GACGAACGAUGGCGGCGUGCUUAACACAUGCAAGUCGAACGGAAAGGCCCUGCUUUUGUGGGGUGCUCGAGUGGCGAACGGGUGAGUAACACGUGAGUAACCUGCCCUUGACUUUGGGAUAACUUCAGGAAACUGGGGCUAAUACCGGAUAGGAGCUCCUGCUGCAUGGUGGGGGUUGGAAAGUUUCGGCGGUUGGGGAUGGACUCGCGGCUUAUCAGCUUGUUGGUGGGGUAGUGGCUUACCAAGGCUUUGACGGGUAGCCGGCCUGAGAGGGUGACCGGCCACAUUGGGACUGAGAGACGGCCCAGACUCCUACGGGAGGCAGCAGUGGGGAAUAUUGCACAAUGGGCGGAAGCCUGAUGCAGCAACGCCGCGUGGGGGAUGACGGCCUUCGGGUUGUAAACCGCUUUCGCCUGUGACGAAGCGUGAGUGACGGUAAUGGGUAAAGAAGCACCGGCUAACUACGU